GUGCCUCUGUGUUUCUGUGUUGCAGUCUGUUCCAGCACUACUGCUACUCUCGUGGGGGAAUGCGACAUGUCUCCUACACAUGCAUCUGUGGAAGCGGAAACAACGGUUCAAUUAUUUACUAUGGCCAUCCUGGAGCUCCCAAUGACAAGACUAUUGAUGACGGAAACAUGUGCCUGUUUGACAUGGGUGGAGAGUACUACUGCUACUCCUCCGACAUCACCUGCUCUUUCC